UACGGGAGGCAGCAGUGGGGAAUAUUGCACAAUGGGCGAAAGCCUGAUGCAGCUAUGCCGCGUGUAUGAAGAAGGCCUUAGGGUUGUAAAGUACUUUCAGCAGGGAGGAAAGAAAUAAAACUAAUAAUUUUAUUUUGUGACGUUACCUGAAGAAGAAGCACCGGCUAACUCCGUGCCAGCAGCCGCGGUAAUACGGAGGGUGCAAGCGUUAAUCAGAAUUACUGGGCGUAAAGAGCGCGUAGGUGGUUUUUUUAAAGUCAGAUGUGAAAUCCCCUAGGCUUAACCUAGGAACUGCAUUUUGAAACUGAAAAACUAGAGUAUCGUAGAGGGAGGUAGAAUUCUAGGUGUAGCGGUGAAAUGCGUAGAUAUCUGGAGGAAUACCUGUGGCGAAAGCGGCCUCCUAAACGAAUACUGACACUGAGGUGCGAAAGCGUGGGGAGCAAACAGGGAUUAGAUACC
rnacentral:rRNA from 1 species